UACGUAGGGUCCGAGCGUUGUCCGGAAUUACUGGGCGUAAAGCGUGCGCAGGCGGGCUUUUAAGCCAGACGUGAAAUCCCCCGGGCUUAACCUGGGAAUGGCGUUUGGGACUGGGAGUCUGGAGUGCGGCAGAGGAGACUGGAAUUCCUGGUGUAGCAGUGAAAUGCGUAGAUAUCAGGAGGAACACCGAUGGCGAAGGCAGGUCUCUGGGCUGACACUGACGCUCAUGCACGAAAGGCGUGGGGAGCAAACGAG
rnacentral:rRNA from 1 species